CGCUGGAGUCCAGACUGCUCGCCCGUAACGGGCGUUCCACGGCUUUCGAAGUGUACGGCGUCGAGCCGAACACCCUGACCAGAUACUUCUUCGGCGCUGCAAAUCAAGAAUUUUUGUAGAAGAUUAAUCGAAUAAUAGAAGAAGUCCACUUACGCGAAUUACGAUGAGGUCCGGCGAGUAUCUUGAGCUUCCCAUCGUAGAUUUGUAAUAGAUGAGACGGUUCUCUGCCUUGGGACGCUUUAACUAAUUGCGCGUUUGUUUCUUCACAUAGACGGCAAGCCACUGUCAAAGCUGCAUCUCGAUCCACCUUGAUAGAGUGGACACCUUCCCAGCAGUAAACCUAAAGAUGAGAGAUGUAUUAAAAAGAAAUAAUAGUUCUCCUCUGGAAUUUUUCACAAUUAUUAUAUCAAUGAAAUAAAAAAGUAUCAGUU